rnacentral:rRNA from 1 species
GAUGAACGCUGGCGGCGUGCCUAAUACAUGCAAGUCGAGCGAACGGACGAGAAGCUUGCUUCCCUGAUGUUAGCGGCGGACGGGUGAGUAACACGUGGAUAACCUACCUAUAAGACUGGGAUAACUUCGGGAAACCGGAGCUAAUACCGGAUAAUAUUUUGAACCGCAUGGUUCAAAAGUGAAAGACGGUCUUGCUGUCACUUAUAGAUGGAUCCGCGCUGCAUUAGCUAGUUGGUAAGGUAACGGCUUACCAAGGCGACGAUGCAUAGCCGACCUGAGAGGGUGAUCGGCCACACUGGAACUGAGACACGGUCCAGACUCCUACGGGAGGCAGCAGUAGGGAAUCUUCCGCAAUGGGCGAAAGCCUGACGCAGCAACGCCGCGUGAGUGAUGAAGGUCUUCGGAUCGUAAAACUCUGUUGUUAGGAAAGAACAUAUGUGUAAGUAACUGUGCACAUCUUGACGGUACCUAAUCAAAAAGCCACGGCUAACUACGUG